UCAAAUUUAAAAUUUAUUCAUGGUCCAAAUAUCCGAAAAAAAAUCCACAUCCUCUUCUUUCACAAAAGAUAAAAAAAAUUGAACAAAAAUGAGAACAUCAAUACAUAAGCAAAAUAGAAGACAAACAGCGGUAAACGCUAAUCAACAAGUAGUUGGAAAAUGGCAACGACAAACAACUGAGUUCUUGGCUGUGCCGUAAGAUAGAGGUUUGAUCAAGUCAACUAAUUAAAAAAAGCAAACUACAAGUAUAACGGUAGAAUUCUUGCAAACCUACUACUAGUUGGAAACAGCAACCUCGGAACAAAAAUGGAGACCCACCACUUUAACCGCAUUAACAUUGAUAGAAGACCCUCCACUUGAUGUUAGUCUGCAAAAUUCAAGUAAUAUAUAAAAGGUAUGCACUCACACUCGCCAUGACUGAACAUGGAUUUGACUCCUCUCCCAUAUACAGACUGGCCUCCAAUCGAUUGUGUUCUGUAGUUAGGCUGAAGACGUUUCAACCAAUGGUUUGUGGUUGAGUUGGAGAGAAGAUUGACAGAGUUCUGAAGUUAGUUGAAACUCACCAGAGUUUCAAGUAAAUUUUCUAAUCAACACUUGUGUAAAUGGACAUAUAGUAAGUAAAUACCUACUAAAUAUUACAAAUUUAGUGGAAAGAAAAAGGUUUUAUAUAGAAAGAAAAGAUAGUGGAUAAAAGUAGGGAGGAUGGUGGAUAAGAAAGGUUUUCUAAAUUUCUUCGAUGCCCCCUUAGGCUUCUUUCAUCUCUUUUUUAUAGGAGAAUUCUUGAACUCUUUUUAUUUUCUUUGAAUCCCAC
rnacentral:lncRNA from 1 species